UAGUCCAGUGGUGAGCUGAAAGUAAGGCCCAACUUUUAGGAAACAAGAUUGUCCUACAUGUGAACAAUUCUGUGCCAAAAAUAUGGGAACAACC
rnacentral:snoRNA from 1 species